UUUAGACAUUCAACAGAAAAAAAAAAGGUUAAAGCUCUAAAAUUCUCUCAGAGCUCUGGCUAGUGGCCGUCCUGGCUCAUCCCAGAGUGCCACCACCUUUAGCGUCACGUGCUUCACGCGCCACUGCCUGAGCCACCGUGCUCGGCGGUUAUGGUUCAGAAAAAACUCCCCUUUCUCUCGCAACACAGCAGGUAUCUAGCGAGGAAAUCAGUGGGCCAGGAUGAUUAGGCCCUGAUGACGAAGGUGUUGGCGCUGAUUUGCAUUCAUUCGUCUUCAACUACGGCUAGAUUUGAGGCCUGGAAUCACGGCGCCGAUGGGGGUAGAUGGAACGACCGAGGUUGAAGAGGCGUGACUGAUGGGGUGAUUACGGCGCGAAGCUUCUGGAAACCCUAGGGUUUCCAGAUUCUGUUUAGGCAUUGGGCCUCAUUUUGGUUGGGUCUUGUUUGGGUCUGGGUGUAACUGGUUAAUAAAUUUUGGGCCAAAGGUUUAGGCUAAUUGGGUUGUAAGCGGGUGCUGGGUUUUGGUAUUUGGGCCUUUGUAAAUUGGACUGUAAUGGACUUUUUAAAUAAAUAAAUAUUUAUUUAUCCAA